rnacentral:rRNA from 1 species
AGAACGAACGCUGGCGGCAUGCCUAACACAUGCAAGUCGAGCGCCCCGCAAGGGGAGCGGCAGACGGGAGAGUAACACGUGGGAACGUACCUUUCGGUUCGGAACAACCCAGGGAAACUUGGGCUAAUACCGGAUACGCCCGCAAGGGGAAAGAUUUAUCGCCGGAAGAUCGGCCCGCGUCUGAUUAGCUAGUUGGUGAGGUAACGGCUCACCAAGGCGACGAUCAGUAGCUGGUCUGAGAGGAUGAUCAGCCUCACUGGGACUGAGACACGGCCCAGACUCCUACGGGAGGCAGCAGUGGGGAAUAUUGGACAAUGGGCGCAAGCCUGAUCCAGCCAUGCCGCGUGGGUGAUGAAGGCCCUAGGGUUGUAAAGCCCUUUCGGCGGGGAAGAUAAUGACGGUACCCGCAGAAGAAGCCCCGGCUAACUUCGCGCCAGCAGCCGC